UUAUCUGGGGCGGAUUCCUCAUAAAUAGUAACUGAGGAGCCUAUAAGGUCAGCUAGAUACGGAUGGAAACCGUGUCGAUAGUGCAAAGGCAUAAGCUGGCUUCACUGCAAGACCUACAAGUCGCGCAGACACGAAAGUGGAGCUUAGUGAACCGACCGUUCUCAUAUAGAAGAGCGGAAG
rnacentral:ncRNA from 1 species